CUUGUUUAUUUCAAAGAUGAUGCAGCCUAUGCUGUUUUUUCUGUUUCCCCUGGCACACUGAACCAAACAUACAUCUGCCAGCCAAGGACACUAGAGGGGAAAAUAAUAUCAAACAGUUAUUUAAUUGAAAAAUAUUUUUUUUCCGUUACUUUACCCCUUAUAAUUAUAUUAGGAACAUUCUGUUGUAAAGAAGCAAUAAGAUUUGUGAAUUAGAUGUUUUCAACAUAUUGUGCAGCUACAUUUAUGCCAAAUAUGAGACUGUUUGGAAUGACAUUUUCAGUUACAAAAGUGUUUUACGUAAAUCGGGUGUAAGAAAGCACUCUGCUGUAGUACAACUACUUUUUUUUUAAGUUACCAAAUAGCUUACUCUUAAUUCAGUUUCUUGUCCUUUUAAUGACAUACUGUCCUAUUUGCCUUUGGCUAUGUUCAAGUUAGCCAUCCUCUCCAUUAUUAAGAUAUAAGUGUUUCUGAAUGUUAUUAAGCUAUUUAAGGAAUGGUUUGCAUGGGUUCUAAAUUCUUCUUCAAGACCAUUUCUAUUGUGAUGCUUAUAAGAAGUCAGCCUUGUGGAUGAUUAGUUUGCAGGGCAGUUAGGGAUGGGGCUAUUUACGUAUUAUAAUAAAAUACAAUAUUUUAAAAUCGUAAGUGCUUUGUAUUCCUUUCCCUCACCCUUAGCCUUAUGCCUAUGCAAAGCACCAUUAUUAAUUAUUUAUAUUACAGUAGCACCUAGAGACCCCCAAAUAAGCUUGGGGUCCCAUUGUGUUAAGUGCUACAGAGUAAGAGACAGUGAAGACCUUUACCAUCUAAGCAAAAGACAAGGGGUGGGAGAAAGGAAGUACUAUUAUUCCCAUUUCACAAUGGGGAACUAAGGCCCAGAGAGAUUAAGGCCCAGAUCCUCAUAGGUAUUUAGAUGCUUAAUGGGAGCUAAGUGCCAAAAUAAUGUUGAGGCUGUGGGUCUAACUGACUUGCCCAAGGUCAUACACAGAGUUUGUGGCAGAGCUAAAAUGUGAAGCCAGCUCUCAAGUCCACAUCCAAGUGCCUUGAUGACAAGACCUUCCGUCCUCUCUUUUGACUUCAGUUGGAGUGAAUUAUUCAUGUGAAUGAAGGAGUCAGCUUGUGUAGCUCUGAUUGCAGGAUUGGGGCCUUAGACUGAAAGCUCUUCAGAGCUGUAUCUGUGUCUUUCUAUGGAUUUGUACAGAACAUUACAGCCCUGCCCUGACUCGCCUUUGGGUGCCACUGUAAGAUAAGUAUCUAAGUGUAGAAGUCUUGGGAUUAGUGUUAUACUGUAACAGCACAUUUAACUGGUCUGUUGUUCCCUUCUAGCUACACAAUAUGUUUGAGUGGAAAAUCUGCAUGAAUAAAUCUGUUAGCAGCUGAAAGGGCACCAAAAGAUUGACAGGCUUUGAGAUUACUUGUCGCUAAGAAGCUACCAUUGAAUUCCAAUUUAGUACAAAGAGUACUAUGAAAAAAUGCAAAAUAAUGAAGUAAUGUGAAACAGUGAAUGAGAUUCAAUUUGUAUUACUUCAAAAUAUAAAAAUAUGAAGUAAAAAAUGUACUUCAGUAGGACGCUGUCAGCUUAGAUUGAAAAUGUAAGUUUGGGGAUUUUUUGUUUUGUUUAUUUUUUUAAUUAUGAAUCCCAAUAAUAUGUUUUCCUGAAAUUUACAUCAAUCAGUAAAACCAGAUGUAUGUUUAGAUAUAAAUAUUCUUCUGCAAAUGUCCCAGUACACAAUUUGCAGUGUUACAUUAGUGUUUAAGGGUCAGGAAAUGAAACAGACUAGAACCAAAGAGAAAAUGAGUGUGUGUGUGUGUGUGUGUGUGUGUGUGUGACUUUAAUGCAUGUGAAAAGAUUGACAUCUCUGAAAUCCUUUUUCUAGAUAGACAGAUAUGACAAGGACCAAAUUAGCACAAUGCUUCCUGAUGCCAAUGUUAUUUCACCUCAUUCUGACAUGGUGAAAGCACCUCUCCGGUGAGAAGUUUAGGUCAGCUUCCAUUCCUGUUUCAGUCCUGACCUCCCAGCAAGGGUGCCAGCUGUGCUUUUUUGUGAUGUGAACCCUUGUUUACUGGGGUGCUGAAGAUUGGACUGAGAUCACCAAACUCACAGGCCACCAAACAGACAUCAGAUCUCCUGGGCCUUCUGCAGCUCCCAUGAAGUGAUGUGGCUGUUCAUUGCUCCUUACUGGCGCAAUGGAGCUCUUUGGUACUUAAAAUGCACCAUGCCAUUAUUUAUGUUUUUUAAAUGCAGCCAUUAGGUAUAAAUAGCAAGUAAACUCAAUAACCAACCAAUUUUGUCUUUAAAAAGCAGCACAUUAGUAGGACAUAAAAUGCAAUGAUCUUUGUAACAGAGAUUACGGGGCCAGUUUCACAAAGAUUUAUGUGCACAAAUUAAUUUCACAGGGGUGCACAGGCCCUGCUGCUAAUUGCUAGUGAAGAUAACCUGUUUUGAUUUUAAUCUUACUUACACAGGUUUUACACCUGCUGUGCAGCUCUAUGGAUUUAACGAAGUUGCUCCUGAUUUACACAUAGAUAAAUAAGAUCAGAAUCAGGCCCAAUAUAAUGAGCUAUUUUCAUCCUUUCCCCUUGGCACAGGUCUGAAUGUAAAGGCACAAAGUCUUAUGAAAUAACAGAGCCACAAAAAAUCUGUCACUCUAAUAAGUAGCUACACUUCUAAAAUCUAUGUUUAAAAAAUGUUUUAAUUUACCAUUUACCAUUUGCUUCCUUUCUAUAUGUGGUGCUGGAAGUUCAGAAUUCUUGGCAUGCAACUCAUUGCUGCCAGUGGAGCAUUCCAGAGCUAUCAGAGUGAAGUUGGAUACUAAUCUUUACUUUUGUAUCUUAGUUGGAGAAACUAACGAAUUAGUUUUACUGUUGCACAGAGGCUAAAGCUGGGACAAGCGUUGAUGGGGUUAAUAGCUCUCAGACUCUUCCCUUCUGCAAUUAAAUGUACCCACAGCUGGAUAUGGCCCCUUUUCAUUGCACAAGAAGAACUGUCAUAAGGUCAAAAGGGAGUAAUGUACUGGUUUGGCAUUAAAAUGGGAGAAGAAAAGGCAAGAAAAUUAAGAGCAAUCACUGUUUCUGUUCCAACACAACGUCUCUUUGUCAAAUUGCCAAAUGUAGCCAUUACACUAGAAUGUAAUGGAUGUGGGAGAAGAGAGAGGAAAUAUGGAAUGCCUCUGGCAAUGGCUAGCGUGAUGAUGCGCCUCCACAUUGCCUGCCACGUGACUCCCACUGCCACAACACAGGACGCCUUGCACUACAUAGCAACUACUAUUAGUGACAUCAGCUGCCAACCUAAGAAUACACCUCUACCAAGCAUGCGGUGAAACUGUCAGUUCCAUUUCACGUGGAGCGGAUAGUAUAUAUUUAGCUCUUUUAUGCAUCAGUAGAAGAAGGAGAAUCAUGUGCAGAUGGAACGCUAUACUCAGGGAAUUGCUAUUGUUGGACCAUAUCAGGGAAUUUCUGUAUUAGAACCAUAAAGUGCAUGUGUAUAACAAGUCUGAGGCCAAGAGAGACAAGGGGUAAGAUUGAAUUCAAUUGAAUUCCCACAGCUUAGGCCUCUUGUUUUUUCCAUUUCUGUGUCUCUCCCUCUGUGAGAAACGUGCAAGGCCAAACUGCUAAUUGUGUUAACACAUCCUAAGACAGAAAGUCUGUUCUCAAAAACAACUGUAAUUGUUCUUCCAAACACAACACAGUUUAGUAGCUUUUGACUCUUGUUUUGUAUGUUAAAGUUUAAGUAAAUUUGCAACAUCCUGCGAGUUGCUAAAAGUUAAGAAAUAGUAAAGUAAUAAGUGAUAAAUGUAUGUUAAAAUAGAGGAUGUAUGUGAAUGGACGCUUGAUUUAGAUAAAGGAUAAAUUGAUUUAGAUAAAGAAUGAAUGGUCAGGGAAGUGCCAGCUUAAGAAUUACAACUCCAGUCUCGAUUGGCUGAAGAAUGCGCAGAUAGACUAGAGAUAACCGGAUGAUCCCCCCGGAGGGCAGGCCGGAAUCCACACAAGUGCCCCCCUCCCUCCCAUGGAGGGCUGAAGACUCCCGAAGAACAAGAUAACACUGAGACAUUCAGCCAUCAGGGAUGUGCCACCUGCUGAUUGAUAAUUACCUCAAACAAACAUGGGCAGGAUGAAGCAAUUCCCAUAGACUUGUAUAAGGGCAAAAUCCUAUAAGAACAGACUCUAAUGUUGAGUCUGGUUUUGCAACCACCCUUCAGGUGCAUCAGAUGCGCAUCUGACAAGGACUCAGCUCCACCCUCGUGUGCAGACUACCUGGCCAGUACUCUGCCAUGUGCAACCUCUAGGCUGGUAACUAUAACAACUCUGCAGAACUUGUAUGAAUGAGUGUGUGAAUGAAUAAGGAAUGGUAGUGAAAUAAUAUUGAACUGCAUAUCCUGAUUUCUGUCUCUUUCUCUGUAUUUACAAUAAACCUGGCAUUUUUGCCUCAUCCCUCUUAUAAGAUAGGGUUACCAUAUUUCAACA